rnacentral:snRNA from 1 species
GUGCUCGCUUCCACAGCACAUAGACUAAAACUGAAACAAUGCAGAGAAGAUUAGCAUAGCCCCUGUACAAGGAUGACACNCAAAUUCAUGAAGCGUUCCAUGUUAAA